GUUCGGUAAGCGAGAUGUGAAAGCCCCCGGGCUUAACCUGGGAAACGGCAUUUCGAACUGUCAGACUAGAGUGUGGUAGAGGGUAGUGGAAUUUCCUGUGUAGCGGUGAAAUGCGUAGAUAUAGGAAGGAACACCAGUGGCGAAGGCGGCUACCUGGACCAACACUGACACUGAGGUGCGAAAGCGUGGGGAGCAAACAGGAUUAGAUACCCUGGUAGUCCACGCCGUAAACGAUGUCAACUAGCCGUUGGGACUCUUGAAGUCUUAGUGGCGCAGCUAACGCACUAAGUUGACCGCCUGGGGAGUACGGCCGCAAGGUUAAAACUCAAAUGAAUUGACGGGGGCCCGCACAAGCGGUGGAGCAUGUGGUUUAAUUCGACGCAACGCGAAGAACCUUACCUGGCCUUGACAUCCAGAGAACUUUCCAGAGAUGGAUUGGUGCCUUCGGGAACUCUGAGACAGGUGCUGCAUGGCCGUCGUCAGCUCGUGUCGUGAGAUGUUGGGUUAAGUCCCGUAACGAGCGCAACCCCUAUCCUUGGUUGCUAGCAGGUAAAGCUGAGAACUCCAGGGAGACUGCCGGUGACAAACCGGAGGAAGGUGGGGAUGACGUCAGGUCAUCAUGGCCCUUACGGCCAGGGCUACACACGUGCUACAAUGGCGCGUACAGAGGGCUGCCAACUCGCGAGAGUGAGCCAAUCCCUUAAAACGCGUCGUAGUCCGGAUCGGAGUCUGCAACUCGACUCCGUGAAGUCGGAAUCGCUAGUAAUCGGAUAUCAGCCAUGAUCCGGUGAAUACGUUCCCGGGCCUUGUACACACCGCCGU
rnacentral:rRNA from 1 species